AGUGAACGCUGGCGGUAGGCCUAACACAUGCAAGUCGAACGGCAGCACAGAGGAGCUUGCUCCUUGGGUGGCGAGUGGCGGACGGGUGAGGAAUACAUCGGAAUCUACUCUGUCGUGGGGGAUAACGUAGGGAAACUUACGCUAAUACCGCAUACGACCUACGGGUGAAAGCAGGGGAUCUUCGGACCUUGCGCGAUUGAAUGAGCCGAUGUCGGAUUAGCUAGUUGGCGGGGUAAAGGACCACCAAGGCGACGAUCCGUAGCUGGUCUGAGAGGAUGAUCAGCCACACUGGAACUGAGACACGGUCCAGACUCCUACGGGAGGCAGCAGUGGGGAAUAUUGGACAAUGGGCGCAAGCCUGAUCCAGCCAUACCGCGUGGGUGAAGAACGCCUUCGGGUUGUAAAGCCCUUUUGUUGGGAAAGAAAUCCAUCUGGUUAAUACCCGGGUGGGAUGACGGUACCCAAAGAAUAAGCACCGGCUAACUUCGUGCCAGCCGCCGCAGUAA
rnacentral:rRNA from 1 species